AUUGAACGCUGGCGGCAGGCCUAACACAUGCAAGUCGAGCGGAGCGGCGGACGGGUGAGUAAUGCUAAGGAAUCUGCCUGGUCGUGGGGGAUGAGGACCGGAAACGGGAGCUAAUACCGCAUACUCUCAGAUGAGCCUAGGUCGAAUUAGCUAGUUGGUGGGGUAAGGGCCUACCAAGGCGACGAUCCGUAACUGGUCUGAGAGGAUGAUCAGUCACACUGGAACUGAGACACGGUCCAGACUCCUACGGGAGGCAGCAGUGGGGAAUUUUGGACAAUGGGGGAAACCCUGAUCCAGCCAUCCCGCGUGUGCGAUGAAGGCCUUCGGGUUGUAAAGCACUUUUGGCAGGAAAGCGGUACCUGCAGAAUAAGCACCGGCUAACUACGUGCCAGCAGCCGCGGUAAUUC
rnacentral:rRNA from 1 species